GGAGCCGAAGCGAAAGCGAGUCUUAAGAGGGCGCGAGUUGCAUGCAGUAGACCCGAAACCGGGUGAUCUAGCCAUGACCAGGUUGAAGUUGGGGUAAAACCCGAUGGAGGACCGAACCGACCCCCGUUGAAACGUUGGCGGAUGAGUUGUGGCUAGGGGUGAAAUUCCAAUCGAACCCGGAGAUAGCUGGUUCUCCCCGAAAUAGCUUUAGGGCUAGCGUCGAGAGAAGAGUUGCGUGAAGGUAGAGCACUGAAUAUGUGAUGGCCCCAUCUCGGGGUACUGAGCAUAAUCAAACUGCGAAUGUCACGGAAACAUACUCGGCAGUCAGACAGCGGGUGAUAAGGUCCGUUGUCAAGAGGGAAACAGCCCAGACCAUCAGCUAAGGUCCCAAAAUGUAUGCUAAGUGGAAAAGGAUGUGGAGAUGUACAGACAACUAGGAGGUUGGCUCAGAAGCAGCCAUCCUUUAAAGAGUGCGUAACAGCUCACUAGUCGAAUGACUCUGCGCCGAUAAUUUACCGGGGCUAAGCAUACUACCGAAGCUAUGGAUCCCAAGGGAUGGUAGGGGAGCGUUCCAUGAACGGAGAAGUACGACCGAAAGGACGUGUGGAGAUCAUGGAAGAGAGAAUGCCGGUGUGAGUAGCGGAACGUGGGUGAGAAUCCCACGCACCGAAAACCCAAGGUUUCCAGAGGAAGGUUCGUCCGCUCUGGGUAAGUCGGGACCUAAGGCGAGGCCGAAAGGCGUAGUCGAUGGACAACAGGUAGAGAUUCCUGUACCCGUAUAUAUGUGAAGGAAUGACGGAGAGAGGAAGCUGCAGCCAGCGGCUGGAAGAGCUGGUGCAAGCGAGAUAUCGGGAUGGCAGGCAAAUCCACCAUCCGAAACGAGAAGGCGUGAAGCGUACGGAAAGCUACGGCGAGUACGGAAGGCAGUGGAGGAACUUCCAAGAAAAGUUUCUAACGUUAAGUAUAUAUGGCCCGUACCGAAAAUGGACACACAUGGGUGAGGAGAGAAUCCUAAGGUGAGCGAGAGAACUAUAGCUAAGGAACUCUGCAAAAUGACUCCGUAACUUAGGGAGAAGGAGUGCUCAUAGAGAUAUGAGCCGCAGUGAAACGGCCCAAGCGACUGUUUACCAAAAACACAGCUCUCUGCUAAGCCGCAAGGCGAAGUAUAGGGGGUGACGCCUGCCCGGUGCUGGAAGGUUAAGGGGAGGGGUUAACGCAAGUGAAGCCCUGAACUGAAGCCCCAGUAAACGGCGGCCGUAACUAUAACGGUCCUAAGGUAGCGAAAUUCCUUGUCAGGUAAGUUCUGACCCGC
rnacentral:rRNA from 1 species